UACGUAGGGUGCAAGCGUUAAUCGGAAUUACUGGGCGUAAAGCGUGCGCAGGCGGUUUUGUAAGUCAGAUGUGAAAUCCCCGGGCUUAACCUGGGAACUGCGUUUGAAACUACAAGGCUAGAGUGUGACAGAGGGGGGUGGAAUUCCACGUGUAGCAGUGAAAUGCGUAGAGAUGUGGAGGUACACCGAUGGCGAAGGCAGCCCCCUGGGUUAACACUGACGCUCAGGCACGAAAGCGUGGGGAGCAAACAGG
rnacentral:rRNA from 1 species